GACGAACGCUGGCGGCGUGCUUAACACAUGCAAGUCGAGCGGUAAGGCCCUUUCGGGGGUACACGAGCGGCGAACGGGUGAGUAACACGUGGGUGACCUGCCCUCAGCUCUGGGAUAAGCCUGGGAAACCGGGUCUAAUACUGGAUAUGACUCCAUGACGCAUGUUGUGGGGUGGAAAGCCUUGUGCGGCUGAGGAUGGGCCCGCGGCCUAUCAGCUUGUUGGUGGGGUGANGGCCUACCAAGGCGACGACGGGUAGCCGGCCUGAGAGGGCGACCGGCCACACUGGGACUGAGACACGGCCCAGACUCCUACGGGAGGCA
rnacentral:rRNA from 1 species